rnacentral:lncRNA from 1 species
CCCGAGCCGCGAGCCCCGCGCCGGGCCGGGGAGUCCCCGGCGCCACACGCCCCCACCACCCCCAUCUUAGCGCCCCCCACCCUCUAUGGAGACAUUUCAACCAGGGAGAAGGGAAGUCCUGCCCUUGCCCCUCGCCCCCGCCCUGCUCCUCCAACAGGGGAGACUUCUGUCCAAACCUUGGAAAGAAACGAGAUGCCAGGCCUAGCGCCUUCGGGGAUCCUCUCUGGACAAGGCCACAGGGUGAAAACACCAGGUGAGGACUUCACUACCCUUGGGGCCACCAUGGGACCCUGGAGACCUUUGCCUCCCUCCAGGCGCCCCCGACCCCUUAAACUUUUUCUCCCUGAGCUCAGCCUGGAGCAGAGUUAGGAUCCUGGGAAAGCCCCUUACCAGUUGCUCCAACCCCCUCCUUAAACUGGAAGGGAAACUGAGGCCCAGAGAAAAGUAGUGAUUGACUAGGGCCACAUGGCACGUUCCUAGAGGAAGAGCAUGGGCCAGAACCCACAGAUGCUGACCUCCUGGCCAGAGGUCAAGGCAUUCCUUAUGGUUGAGCAUAGCCAGCCCCGUGUGCCAGUAUCCAGCCCCUGCCCUGCACCAAGCAGAGGGGCUGGACACCUCUGUCAUGGCACCAGCUGCCUCUCCUUCCCCAGCACAGUCUGGACCUGGGCGGACUUUUUGGAAAAGCUUCUGGAUGCCACGGACUCCACGACCAACCAACUAGGUUGCUGCUGCUUGCAAACAUCGCCUCCAUUGAAGGAUUCCUGCAGCCACCAGCUCUGGAACUUUCUGGAACCAAACAUUUCCCCAGACUGCCUACAAGGACCAAUUGGCCUCUGGAUGUAGGUGUGGCCUGCAGGGGUCCGGCAGGGCUCCCCAGAGUCAAGUGGACCCAGCCCUUUGGACCCCCUGCCCGGUCCUAUUGACCUCUGCUCUCUCCCUGCAGCACUUCCUGGAGGCGUUUGACCGGGACCUGGGAGGGCAGCUGAGAAGUGCCUGACCAUUCUCAAGGAGCUGCGUGGAUUCCAGACAUCUCUGGGCUGGUCUCUGGACCGGGAUGGGGGACCCAGAGGUGGAGCCGAACACACAAGCAGCACUUGAGGGCUCCGAGGGUGGCAAGGAGAGAAGUUCCUGCUCUGGUACAGCCCUGGGACCUUGAAAGGUGCUUCAACAGAGCGUCCACUCCCAGCGCCUAGCUCUGGGACCUUGAAUGGUGCUUUAACAGAGCGUCUGCUCCCAGCGCCAAGCCCUCAGUGCAGAGGGGGAGACUCAGGCGGCCCUCAGACACAAUUCGCCAAGGUCGCACAGCAAGUCAGGGUGCCGCUAAGACUAGGACCUACAGCUCUGCCUCCUGGCCCAGGCUCCUCAGCACCUGGGCCCCAGAGGACAGCCUGUGGGAGGCCCACAUGGCCACUGCACCAUGAACCAAGGACCUGGUCCGGGUCCACCUCCACCAAGUGCUGGCCGUGUGUCACUGGGGUCACUCCACUCUCUGCAUUAGGUCUCAGUCAUCCAAGACCAUCUUUCAAGGGCCGUCACUCCAAUUAUGAGUCUGGGAUUUUCUGAAAUUGAGCAUUUUGGCCAGGCUGUGGGGUCCCUCUAUGACUGCCUGUAAGACACUGCCAAGGGGACUUUCUUCCUUUCACCAGACUGAAGCUAAGAAGUGCUGGAGACAGCAGUUGCUUUAGCCACAGGCUGUGUAGACCACCUGAGGAUGACCUGGGGGUCUGUUUUGUGCACCUUGGAACCCAUCGGAUCCCUCCAAUGACACAUUUGUCCAGAGCAAGACAAGAUCACACUUUGACAGCCCUCUGUCAAGAUCCUUGCUCCAAAUCUCCAGACUAGCAGCCAGGAGUCUCCAUGCUGUUCUGAAGAAGCAGAUUCCUCACCCACCCUUCAACUCCUUCCCAGGAGGUAAUCCUCCUCCAAAUCUCUGGAAAAGAUACACCUCCUCUUCUCUGAUAAAGGCUGGGGGGUGAUGCCCCUCCCCCAGUUUCCCAAUAAAGCUAUGCAAGACAGGAGCAAGGGAUCUCACGGCCUGUUUUUGCUACAAAAACCCUUUUUCGGAAAAAAUAAUAAAGAAAGGAAUCAGCCAAUCCCUCCUCGAUGCCAUCACCUCUUCUCGGUGAUUUUUCGGGGAAGGAGUGGGUGGGUUGCUAUGGCAACAGAUGCGAGCUCGUCUCAGUAAAGAAGGGACCUUGA